rnacentral:rRNA from 1 species
GACGAACGCUGGCGGCGUGCCUAAUACAUGCAAGUAGAACGCACAGUUUAUACCGUAGCUUGCUACACCAUAGACUGUGAGUUGCGAACGGGUGAGUAACGCGUAGGUAACCUGCCUGGUAGCGGGGGAUAACUAUUGGAAACGAUAGCUAAUACCGCAUAAUACUAAUUAUUGCAUGAUAAUUAAUUGAAAGGUGCAAUUGCACCACUACCAGAUGGACCUGCGUUGUAUUAGCUAGUAGGUGAGGUAACGGCUCACCUAGGGGAGGAUACAGAGCCGACCGGAGAGGGUGAUCGGCCACACUGGGACUGAGACACGGCCCAGACUCCUACGGGAGGCAGCAGUAGGGAAACUUCGGCAAGGGACGAAAGUCUGACCGAGAAACGCCGAGUGAGGGAAGAAGGUUUUCGGAUCGUAAAGCUCUGUUGUAAGAGAAGAACGGGUGUGAGAGUGGAAAGUUCACACUGUGACGGUAUCUUACCAGAAAGGGACGGCUAACUACGUG